GGUUUCCAGUCGAACUCCAGACAUGUUAACCAUGCAUGUAUAUUGACUUUCAUGCUAUGUGUGUUAGGUAUGUAUUAAACAUAAAUUUCUUGUUUAGACUUGGGUCCCAUCCCCAAAAUAUUUUGUCCUAUAUAUACUGAUGUUCCAAAAUCUGAGAGUCCAAAAUCCAUAAUACUUUUGGUUCCUAAGGUUUCAGAUAAGAGAGACUUAUCCUGUUUUGCUUCUGUGAUAACGAAGCUUAAUUGUUCCAGGCCAAGCAUUAGGGAGACACCAGGGGAUUUGUUGGACAUGGUCCCUGCCCUUAAGGCUCCUAUUGCCUUUCUAUUUCCAGGACCUGAGCAAUUUCGCCCUUCAUUUGUCUUUCUGUCUUUCAAACAUAUCCUGUGAGGUUUUAGGCAGUACUGUUUCUCCAUAUUUAACGAAUUCAGAGUCUUUCCUGUCUUUCCAUUUC
rnacentral:lncRNA from 1 species